AUUGAACGCUGGCGGCAUGCUUUACACAUGCAAGUCGAACGGUAACAGGGUGCUUGCACCGCUGACGAGUGGCGAACGGGUGAGUAAUGCGUCGGAACGUGCCGAGUAGUGGGGGAUAACGCAUCGAAAGGUGUGCUAAUACCGCAUACGUACUGAGGUAGAAAGUGGGGGACCUUCGGGCCUCACGCUAUUCGAGCGGCCGACGUCUGAUUAGCUAGUUGGUGAGGUAAAGGCUCACCAAGGCGACGAUCAGUAGCGGGUCUGAGAGGAUGAUCCGCCACACUGGGACUGAGACACGGCCCAGACUCCUACGGGAGGCAGCAGUGGGGAAUUUUGGACAAUGGGCGCAAGCCUGAUCCAGCCAUGCCGCGUGUCUGAAGAAGGCCUUCGGGUUGUAAAGGACUUUUGUCCGGGAGCAAAUACCCAGUGCUAAUAACGCUGGGGGCUGAGAGUACCGGAAGAAUAAGCACCGGCUAACUACGUGCCAGCCGCCGCGGUAAUAC
rnacentral:rRNA from 1 species